GUCCUCGUAGCUCAGCUGGAUAGAGCUCCCGCCUUCUAAGCGGACGGUCAACGGUUCGAGUCCGUUCGAGGACG
rnacentral:tRNA from 1 species